GUAAGGAAUAUUGGGCAAUGGACGCAAGUCUGACCCAGCCAUGCCGCGUGGAGGAUGAAGGUCCUCUGGAUUGUAAACUUCUUUUCUCUGGGGCGAAAAACAGGUAUUCUUACUUGCUUGACAGUACCAGAGGAAUAAGCACCGGCUAACUCCGUGCCAGCAGCCGCGGUAAUACGGAGGGUGCAAGCGUUAUCCGGAUUCACUGGGUUUAAAGGGUGCGUAGGUGGGGAGGUAAGUCAGCGGUGAAAUCCCCGAGCUUAACUUGGGAACUGCCAUUGAUACUAUCUCUCUUGAAUAUCUUGGAGGUGAGCGGAAUAUGUCAUGUAGCGGUGAAAUGCUUAGAUAUGACAUAGAACACCAAUUGCGAAGGCAGCUCACUACACGGUAAUUGACACUGAGGCACGAAAGCGUGGGGAUCAAACAGGAUUAGAAACCCCGGUAGUCC
rnacentral:rRNA from 1 species